ACAAAGAACCCACCAUGACUUUUAGCCACUGUUCCUUGUUUUGGAACACUUCACUCACUAGUCUUUAAUACUAGUGGGAGGGUAAGUUAAAAAGGGCUAUUGGGAAUGACAUCUUCUCAAGUGUUUGUACAAUAAAGGAAACAUCACCAUGAGAUUAGAAUAGAGUUUAUUCUUUAUUUAUUCAUUUAUUUAUUUAUUGAGGGUGUAUUUGUCUAGUCAUCUCAACCUCCAUUCUUCACAUUCCAAAAAUUUAGUGUGAUUGAACAAAAUUUUGGAUUCUCAUUCAUUUGAAGUGUCUAACAAUUGCACACUCUCAUUGGUAUGACACGUCAUCCCAACGGUGUUGCUUUUGCUAAAUCUUAUAACAGCUUCCCUGAUCUUUAACACUUGCAAGUCAUUGAAACUAUUUAUUGAUGAUUUAAUUUCGUUUACCCAAGUGUUGUAGCAUUUUCUUCUCUUUUGCAAUUGAUUUUUUUUUGUCUCUCUUUAGUUGGGGAUGUCUUAUAUAAUGUAGACAUGUAUGUAAACUAUACCUUGUGAAUAAUGAGUAAUCUAUUUCUAGUAUUUUAUUUAUACAAAAUAAAUUUCUUUUGAAAUGGAGUUACCAUUGGAUCAAGUUCUACACACUCGUUUGACAGAUUACACCAAAACAUGUGUGACUUAGACAACGGAUUUAAAGACCAAACUAGGCCUAUGACUACAAUUAAUUAGGUUCAAUUUAGAGAAUAAAUAUGCUUUAUUAUUAAUUGUUAUAUGUGUUUUUUUUUAUAAUUACUAUUUCUUAUUAUGCAUCAACCAGUCCAUUGUUAUAUGUAUCUUCUCUUCUUCUUCUUUUUUCAGGUGUUGUGACCAUAUGAGCCACACGCUUGUUGAUUUCCAAAUUCAUGGUCUUACUCACCAAUUUUAUGAUUUAAAAUCUACUAUUACUGCUUUGGUUUCAACUUUCAAUUAUUAGGCAUUUCUCUUAAAGAAAAUCCUUUGUUUUUAUUAGUUGGAAUUUCAACUUUCUAUUUUUGUCUGUU
rnacentral:lncRNA from 1 species